AGAGUUUGAUCCUGGCUCAGGAUGAACGCUAGCGGCAGGCCUAAUACAUGCAAGUCGGGCGGCAAGUUGAGGAGCAAUCCGAGACCUAGAGCGGCGGACGGGUGCGUAACGCGUAUGCAACCUGCCCCUUACCGGGGGAUAGCCCGGGGAAACCCGGAUUAAUACCCCAUAGUAUUCAGACACCGCAUGGUGAUUGUAUUAAAGAUUCAUCGGUAGGGGAUGGGCAUGCGUAGGAUUAGUUAGUUGGCGGGGUAACGGCCCACCAAGACUUUGAUCCUUAGGGGUUCUGAGAGGAAGGUCCCCCACACUGGCACUGAGAUACGGGCCAGACUCCUACGGGAGGCAGCAGUAGGGAAUAUUGGGCAAUGGGCGGGAGCCUGACCCAGCCAUGCCGCGUGCAGGAAGAAGGCGUUAUGCGUUGUAAACUGCUUUUAUACGGGAAGAAAAGGCCCAUGCGUGGGACAUUGCCGGUACCGUGUGAAUAAGCACCGGCUAACUCCGUGCCAGCCGCCGCGGUAAUAC
rnacentral:rRNA from 1 species